GACGUCGAUAUUCGACGUCAUAAAUACGAUCAACUUUGGUGUUUAUGACGUCGAUAUUCGACGUCAUAAAUACGACCAACUUUGGUGUUUAUGACGUCGAUUUUCGACGUAAUAAACACGAUAUACUUUGGGGUUUAUGACGUUGAUAUUCGACGUC
rnacentral:miRNA from 1 species